rnacentral:tRNA from 4 species
GGUAGGGUGGCUGAGCGGUCAAAAGCACCGGUCUGUAAAACCGGCGGCAAUAGCCUACACAGGUUCGAAUCCUGUCCCUACCACCA